AACGAACGCUGGCGGCAUGCCUAACACAUGCAAGUCGAACGAGACCUUCGGGUCUAGUGGCGCACGGGUGCGUAACGCGUGGGAAUCUGCCCUUGGGUUCGGAAUAACAGUUGGAAACGACUGCUAAUACCGGAUGAUGACGUAAGUCCAAAGAUUUAUCGCCCAAGGAUGAGCCCGCGUAGGAUUAGCUAGUUGGUGAGGUAAAGGCUCACCAAGGCGACGAUCCUUAGCUGGUCUGAGAGGAUGAUCAGCCACACUGGGACUGAGACACGGCCCAGACUCUUACGGAAGGCAGCAGUAGGGAAUAUUGGACAAUGGGCGAAAGCCUGAUCCAGCAAUGCCGCGUGAGUGAUGAAGGCCUUAGGGUUGUAAAGCUCUUUUACCCGGGAUGAUAAUGACAGUACCGGGAGAAUAAGCUCCGGCUAACUCCGUG
rnacentral:rRNA from 1 species